GAAGUGUUAAAGACAGAACCUUUUGGAUAUUAUUAAUUCAUUGGGAUCCCAUUCGUCCAAAAUUACUUGACAAUACAUUAUAACAUCAUUAGCUUUGGGAAGUACAAAUUAGAUUAGUUGCUAUUAAAAUAUGGGCUUAAUUAAUCCCACCCUCAUACCUAGAAGGAACCAGAAUGAGGAUAUGUCAUGAUCUGUGACUCUGGAAAUUCCCUGGGUCAAUUCAAAACAAAAUUCAUGCUGACGUAACCUCUUCUUGCCCAAGAUAUGAAAAUAAGCACGCAUGAGACCUAGUGUGUGAAAGAAAACCAGAAAGGUUAGACAGUUGGGAAAGCAACAAGCAUCUCUUCCUCAUUUCUCCUGCUGUCUUCUGAGCUCCUGCCAGCACCAUGAAGACGCUGAGUACCUUGGUCUUUUUCAGUCUUCUAAUGCUUUGGAUGGAGUUGCCAUAUGGAGCUGCACAAGAAACAGAAUAUCCUUCCAACUGCCCACCAGACCCUUAUGUAUGCAUUCGAGCAGAACCAAAUGAAUGCGAGAAAAACCGUGAUUGUAAAGAUAACAAGAUUUGCUGCCAAAAUACUUGUGCAAAACGCUGUGUGUAUCCAGUGAAAGGUUAAUUUCAAACUGAACCAGUAUGCAGAAGGAUAUCCUCAAAUGCAGGGAUGGCAUGGCAUGGAAUAUGGCUACAACCUCACAUACAACCUCAAUGCUCAUAAACCUGCUUGAAAAAAAAUCUGUGUAGUGCCUAUGGGUGGUUGGGGGACAAUAAAAAUAACACAAGUUUUACA
rnacentral:lncRNA from 1 species